GGAAUCUUCCUAUAGACCAAGUUGAACCUGUAGCCCUGAUUGAUGUCAAGCCUUCUAUCAUGGAAGGAGAAUUCUCAGGCAACCAGGAUGAGCAAAGUACUAGACAGAUCUUCAGUACCUUCUUGCAAAACUACUUCCUCUGCAUUGACAGAAGGAUUGUUGGAUACUUCAGUUAUAGCCAUAGAAGGAUCUUCAGGAGUUCCAUGCUCAUCCUGGUUGCCUGAG
rnacentral:misc_RNA from 1 species